GGGCGAGAGUGGAGGGGAGCGUUUCUCUGCUCCGACUGACCUAAGACUAAAGGCCGGGGUAGGUAGCUCAUCUUCCAAAAGUCUGCACAACUAAAUGUCUCCUUCCCGAAAAAGGAGAAGGGGCACCUACCCCGCCCUUUCUAGAGGCUGGGAAGUCCAAAAUCCAGGUGGUGGCAGAUGGCAUAUUUGGUGUCUGAGGCCUCAGCCAGGACCCUAGAAGGCUAGAGGGAAAAUGAGUUCUCCUCCUGCUGCUGCUUCUGCUGCUGCUGCUGCUAAGUCGCUUCAGUCGUGUCCGACUCUGUGCGACCCCAUAGACGGCAGCCCACCAGGCUCCCCCGUCCCUGGGAUUCUCCAGGCAAGAACA